rnacentral:lncRNA from 1 species
GCGGAUCCAGGACCCCCUGACUAGGGGGUUCAAAUUUUUCACAUGAAAACAUCGGUAAAAAUAUAAUUAAAAACAACUUUAAUAUGUUUAUACAUAAGAAAUUAUGCAAGUCAUAGUUGUCAUCUACGUGAUUUCAUAUUAUGAAAUAUUAUGAAAUCGUUGAACAAUUUACACUAGCAGUAGCGAUCCUUUUCUCCCCUCAAUCAAAGGAAAACUGAAUAAAGUUAAAUCUUACAUAAGACUUGUAGAAAUAUAUAAAAACGACUUUCUCUUAUCAUUUUACUUACUAACAGAAAUAGCAGCCCAAAUAAAUAAAAACAGAGGAAAAAAUACUUGUCAUUUGAAAUUUUAUAUCUGCAAAUAUUUAUGUAUAUAUGCACAUGUAUAUGUAUGUAUGAUUCAUUAAUAUUUAUGUAUAUAUGCACAUGCAAAAUAUCUUAGUUUAAAUUGACCAACUGAGGUGAGAAAUCUAAACUGAAAAUACCAGAAAAAAUAUAUUUUUCUCAUCGAACGUUUCCAAUUCAGUAAAGAUUAGAUAAAUGAAUAAUUCGAUUGUCUUCAAGAAUUAAGUAUCUAAAUCGAAACAGAAAAAUUAAACAAAGGAAGCAUAAUUUGAGAUUGAACUAUUUUGCAGACGAUGAUUCUGAUUGCAGUUCUCACAUCUCAGUUGAGUGGGACUUAGGCAGCGAGAGAAAGAUGGUGAGUGGCUGAGUGCGCGUGUGUGUGAGAGAGUGAGAGGAGUAAGUGAUGGUAAGUCUUUAGUGCAAAUAGGUGCAAAACUUGGUCUACUAGUAUAAUUUAAAAUUUUCAGGGGGUUCAAAAAAUAUAUUAUAUAGGAGUGUAAGUGCAAAAAAAAAUUGUUCAGGGGGUUCAUCUGAACCCCCUCACUUCCAAGUAGAUCCGCC